rnacentral:misc_RNA from 1 species
GAUACCGCGCGCUGUGCGGCGGCGAGCGAGAGCAGCUCGUGUACGUACCACGAUGACGGUGCCCGUGUUUUCGGCGCUGUACAGGCGCAUUAUCGGCUUCUGUGACCCCCGCGUGCCGACCCGACUUCGACCCCUGUGGGAGCACCCUUGCGGACCGAAGACGGUCUUCUUCUGGUCACCUUUACAGAAAUGGUGCCUGGUGUUAGCAGGCCUGUCCGACACGCUUACACGACCUCCUGAGAAGAUGAGCAUCAGCCAGGCCGGCUCACUCGCCUGCACCGGCUACAUUUGGGCCAGGUACUCGCUGGUCAUCAUACCGAAAAACUGGAGCCUGUUCGCCGUUAACUUCUUUGUCGGUCUAUCGGGCACCUUUCAGCUGGCCAAGGUGAUAAGCAUUGACGGGAUCUAGGAGGCCUUCAGUCAGGCGCACGCGUCAGGAUCUUGAUGACCACUGAGCGGAGCCCAACGACAUCCGCCCGCUGAUGCCAUGCGCGCGAUACGGCCACACUCUACUCCAUCGGGUACCAGAUGUCGUUGAAGAACGCUCCGGCGGCAGCCCCGGCGGCCAACUGAUUGUACGUCCCGACCGGACCCGCUGGCG